CUUAUUUAAAGUUUAACCACUCAUCUUCUAACAGAGACUGAAAGAUGUAUUGCUCUACAGCCAGGCAGCAAAAUACUCUGAGAUGGCAAAAUACUCUGAGAUGGCAAAAUACUCUGAGAUGGCGAAUUUUACAUACUGUUAUGCAGAAGAAAUGAAAGACAAGAGAUUCCUGUGGAUAAAGAGAGUUUGUCACAUCAAUGCCAUACCCAGCUGUCACCAUGCAAGACUUGCUAACAGGGUUUGAGCGAGCAGAACCAGCAUGGAAAGAGCUCUGU